UAUUUCUUGUGGAGUUUUUCAGUGAUGUAAUGCUUAUAGCCAAAUUGCUUAAAGAGUGUUUAUAUAUUUUUUUCCUUAUAAAUAGUCUAUUUUUUAAAAAUAAACUAUUUAACCACAAGUUGAAAAGGGGGGUAAGGCCAAACUGCCAGCAUUUGUUAAAAGAUUGAUAUUCUUAAGUGGCACUCUGAUACCUUUCCAAGCUUAUCAUCAGAGGGGAAUCAAUAAUUAUCAACUGUUAUGCUCCUUAGAUUCUAGUUUGCUCCUUUCGAAUACCAAUGCCGUAGACACUACAGGAGAGAACUAAUGGUAUCAGCAGUGCUGAAAUGGAGGGGCCUUCAGAGAAAGGACCCUUCCCAACCAGCCAGCCAGUAGAAAAGAAGACCUACUCGCCCUCUUUCCUUCUACCUUCUGCUAAAUCACACCUGCCUCAUAGAGAGAGGAGUUCUGCCUUUGAGGUUUGCCUUGGAGAAAAAGAUAAGCUUGAAAUGUUCUCCCUGGAGGGGACAUGGGGUUUGGGAUCUUCUGAAAAGGCCCAGAAAAAUGGCUCAGUUCAAACACAAUGUUCUAGGACAAUUGGAAUAUAAAUAUUGUCCAAAAAAUAGAGCUAAAACAAAAAAGUUUAGCAUUGUGCAAAGUGUUAACUAAGGAAGUCCCAAAAAAGGUGCUGUCACUUUAAGUUCUGGACUAGGGGGUUGUUUGUAAUUGUAAACAGCAAAACAUUUGUGUUUGUUUGUCUAUUUGUAAAGUAACCACCUUCCUUAUUGGAAGGAGAAAAAAAUUGGGGGGUACAUACGUGUAAAUACUUGCUGCAGCAUUUAAUAUGUUUAAUUUUAUGUUAAGCUUUUUGUUGCAUCGUGAACACAUUUAUUGUUACCAAUGGACAAUGAGUUCAUUAAGACUGUUCAACUAGGUCAGAUUUUUACAUCUCUUUCUAGCAAGAAGAGACAAGAUUUUGUGCAUUUGUACAAAUGUUAAUAAUAUCACUGCAAUUCCAAUAUAAUAAAGCACUC
rnacentral:lncRNA from 1 species